rnacentral:rRNA from 1 species
GAUGAACGCUGGCGGCGUGCCUAAUACAUGCAAGUCGAGCGAACGGACGAGAAGCUUGCUUCUCUGAUGUUAGCGGCGGACGGGUGAGUAACACGUGGAUAACCUACCUAUAAGACUGGGAUAACUUCGGGAAACCGGAGCUAAUACCGGAUAAUAUUAUGAACCGCAUGGUUCAAAAGUGAAAGACGGUCUUGCUGUCACUUAUAGAUGGAUCCGCGCUGCAUUAGCUAGUUGGUAAGGUAACGGCUUACCAAGGCAACGAUGCAUAGCCGACCUGAGAGGGUGAUAGGCCACACUGGAACUGAGACACGGUCCAGACUCCUACGGGAGGCAGCAGUAGGGAAUCUUCCGCAAUGGGCGAAAGCCUGACGGAGCAACGCCGCGUGAGUGAUGAAGGUCUUCGGAUCGUAAAACUCUGUUAUUAGGGAAGAACAUAUGUGUAAGUAACUGUGCACAUCUUGACGGUACCUAAUCAGAAAGCCACGGCUAACUACGUG